rnacentral:rRNA from 1 species
UACGUAGGGUGCAAGCGUUGUCCGGAAUUAUUGGGCGUAAAGAGCUCGUAGGCGGUCUGUCGCGUCUGCUGUGAAAACUCAGGGCUUAACCCUGAGCUUGCAGUGGGUACGGGCAGACUAGAGUGCGGUAGGGGAGACUGGAAUUCCUGGUGUAGCGGUGAAAUGCGCAGAUAUCAGGAGGAACACCGGUGGCGAAGGCGGGCCUCUGGGCCGUAACUGACGCUGGAGGAGCGAAAAGCGUGGGGAGCAAACAGG